GCUAUUAGCAAGAACCAGCAGGAUGGGGGAGAAGCACCGCUGUAUUCGUCACUACAAAACUCCAGAACAAAUUCACUGAAAGCUUUUAUUAGGGGAUUUGACUUUCUCCCAAGGAAGAUCGUUGCCUUCUGUUGCCUUCUGCUCUGUCCCUAGAGCCCAUAUCUCACAGUUUCUAGUCCAGAGUCCAGACAGAGUUGGCAGAGAAAAGUGGUAAGUACAAAGACUACUCACCCUGGUAUUCAGGACGAAAGAGAUGAAUGGAAGAGAGGACAGCCAGCCAUGCAGGCCUCAGGGGCUUGUUCCCCAAACAGGGCAAGGGCAGGAAGUCCAGGGGCAAGUGAACUGAACUUCUGGGACUCUUGCCAGCCUUGCCUUGGCACAGCCUGCAUCUGAGAUUCUGUCCAAUCAGAUAAGCCACCCGUCCUCGGAGAACUUGAGUUCCUUGAAAACAAACCACACAUCCCUUCAUCUCUGCACCCCUCCAGAGCCUUGCAGCCUUCACUGUCAUCACAUUCAAGCGCAUGCUGCAUAAAGGAAGGAAGUGGGAAUGGAAUGGACAGGUAGCAUGCUGUGAAUAUAAAGACACUCAGUGGAUUGCUGGCCACAUGGACAGUGGAAGGGGAUUUUCUCAGAGCCACCAAAACCAAUAUUCUAGGCUCACCUAACAUAAUGUAACUGAGAAUCCUUGGUUCUAAUUUGAGGCACCUGAUACGUAAAGGAAGGAGCAUAGGAUGGAGGCCCCAGAGACCGUAUUUAUUACUCAAUGGGGCAGGAACUUGGGAGAAGGCACUGGUGUCCAGGAGAAGAGUUCAGGCCAGUGAAUUAAGCCCCAUCAUGAGCCAGGAACUGAGCUAGUCCUGGCUGAAAAUGCAACCACAGCACACACUUCUGCUCUCAAGGGGCUUAGGGUUCGGUGGGGGAGAGACUUACAUAAUACACGUGUGAGACAGUCACAAGUGCGAGAAGCCAUGUCUGCUCAUUUGUGCUUGUCAAGAUAAUUUCACACAGCCCCUGAAUCUGUGAGGCCACGCAGCUCUUUGGGAAGAUGCUUUGAAGACAAAACAGGAUGGACCACAUGGCUCCCACACCACUUGCCUGAGUCACUAUGCUCCUUAAAAGAUGAAUGACCCUAGCCUUGACUUUUCCUACACAGAAGAUAACGUUUGACAGGGUUAGUGACUAUGCCUCUGUAAUUCAUUACUAAAUGCAUUUUAGUCAUCUAUAACCAGAUAUACUCUUGCACCCAGACUUUGACGUGAUUUUGCAUGUACUGAACCUUCACCACCCGUCCAUAAACUGUGAGCUGAAACACCACAUUGGAGCCUCUGAUGGAACUGCUCCCGGGCUGUAGACCUCCAUCUACAGUCUUC
rnacentral:lncRNA from 1 species